rnacentral:rRNA from 1 species
GUCCAGACUCCUACGGGAGGCAGCAGUGGGGAAUAUUGCACAAUGGGGGAAACCCUGAUGCAGCGACGCCGCGUGAGUGAAGAAGUAUUUCGGUAUGUAAAGCUCUAUCAGCAGGGAAGAAGUUGACGGUACCUGAGUAAGAAGCCCCGGCUAACUACGUGCCAGCAGCCGCGGUAAUACGUAGGGGGCAAGCGUUAUCCGGAUUUACUGGGUGUAAAGGGAGCGUAGACGGCAGUGCAAGUCUGAAGUGAAAGCCCCGGGCUUAACCCCGGAACUGCUUUGGAAACUGUGCAGCUAGAGUGCAGGAGAGGGAAGUGGAAUUCCUAGUGUAGAGGUGAAAUGCGUAGAUAUUAGGAGGAACACCAGUGGCGAAGGCGGCGUACUGGACGGUAACUGACGUUGAGGCUCGAAAGCGUGGGGAGCAAACAGGAUUAGAUACCCCGGUAGGG